CACCAACCACUUUAUGCUUCCGAUAGCAUAAUAGCUCUGCUAUAUAGAAGCAUAAAGUGGUUGGUGCUUUCGAUUUUUUAGUCCUUGGAUCAAAGAUUCUAUGGUUAGGAUGAUAGUGGUCCCCUUAAGGUUGUGUGGUUCCCCUAGGGUUGAGUGGUCUCUAUUGGUUAAUAAUAUUAAUCCAAUGGUUAGAAAUGAUCAAUAGGGUUGAUCUAAGAGCUAAAAAAUUGAAAGCACCAACCACUUUAUGCUUCCGAUAGCAUAUUAGCUCUACUCUCUCUCUCUCUAUAUAUAAAAGAAUUUGAAUUUGGAAUUUAACCGUAACGCUCCAAUAGUUUUACAUCGGACAAAAAAAUAAUUUUGAUUAGAAUAUAUGAGGCCUCACAUGCUAGUAAUAAUAAUUUCGCUUAAACAUUUUCGGUCGGUGGUUUGAGCCCAAUGAGUUAUUAUUGCUAGCGGUCGGAUCGUUACAAUUAAUAUCAAAGCCGAAUACCAGCCAGAAUGCGAGACAAUGUGUUACACCAAUGGAUUUAGUGGAAGUCACCUCUUGAGUAAUACAUCUAUAUGUUUGUAGUCUGAAUUUAAAUACACUAGCAAUAAAGAGAAGGGCAGUUGAAUAUAUGGUAGUUGUUGGCUUAAAUAGGCCAGCAUCCUACCCUGUGGCUGUAAGUCGGGUUGGGCCGAGUCACGUUCAAAAUGGCGUGAGGCUGGGUGGGUCGAGUCAUGCUCGAAGUGGCGUGAGGCCGGAUGGGCCGAGUCACAAUCAAGACCCUUGGGCGCUGUAUCUGUACACUUUAAGUGAAUUGGUUGCAUAUUUCUAACAGCUCGAACUUUUGGGAUUAAUGGUUAGCGCCAACGAUCCGACAGUAGUGACCUCAGCUCGUGUUCACUCAUUAAGAUUUCGAGCUGAAAAAUUCAGCUCGUAUUCAACUUAUUUAUUAAACAAGUGAUCGAUUUCAAGUUCAUUUCCAACCGAACAGCGAACUGGAUAGCCAGCCCUAACAUAAACCCUCCUCUCUCUCUCUCUCUCUCUCUAUAGUAUAAUCUCUCCACAACUAUAAUAA
rnacentral:lncRNA from 1 species